rnacentral:lncRNA from 1 species
GAGUCACCAGCACGCAGGAGAAGAGGGCGAAGCGGCCACCCGCGUUCUGUGUUCGGAGUCAGGACGAGAAGCAUUGGACUUUGCUUGAGCCAACGAUUCCGGAAUUGGGGAAAGGGUUACCUUAGGUAGAAAUCGGAAAUUUAUAGGAGACACAGAGGUAAGGACCAACUGUUAGGACUGAGUGAAAAAUGGUUCCCUCCAACUGUAAAAGUGGAAAAAAAAAUACCUAUCUUAUAGGUGGGGCAGUGAGGAGUAAAUGAGUUUAAUAUAUUUCAAGCUUUUAAAACAACCUCGCCCAUCAUAAGCACUGUUUAAACAUUAGCUCUUAUCUUUUAAAAAUAUUAGUGGAUGUUUAAAAUGAAUGAAUACAAUUUGUCCAAGAAAUAUGGCGUAAGAGCCCAGAAGAAAUAAAGUUUAAUCUUACAAAGGGCUUCUGUAGAAAGAAUACAUGCAUGGAAUUGAUGGAAUUUGGUAUAAAUCUUGAAAAAACUUAAUAGGUGUAUUCAAUCGUUCAGUAAAUGUUUCCUGAGCAUUUAUCAUGUGUCAGCUACUGUUGGAGCUCUGAGAAUGGUUCUCAUGCAGUUUACAUUCUAGUAAGAGAGCAAGGCCCAAUAACCAAGCACUCGUGGGAGAAGAAG